GGAUGGCAGGCUGAGCGGUUAAAGCGCCUCUCUGCUAAAGAGGUUUCGGUAACACGAUGAUGGGUUCGACUCCCAUGCCAUCCGCGA
rnacentral:tRNA from 1 species